rnacentral:tRNA from 1 species
GUGGGGCUGGCUGAAAUGGCAAGGCGGCGGCCUGCAAAGCCGCAUAUCCGGGUUCGAGUCCUGGGCCCCACU